rnacentral:rRNA from 1 species
GGGCCCGCACAAGCGGUGGAGCAUGUGGUUUAAUUCGAUGCAACGCGAAGAACCUUACCUACUCUUGACAUCCAGAGAACUUUUCAGAGAUGAAUUGGUGCCUUCGGGAACUCUGAGACAGGUGCUGCAUGGCUGUCGUCAGCUCGUGUUGUGAAAUGUUGGGUUAAGUCCCGCAACGAGCGCAACCCUUAUCCUUGUUUGCCAGCGAGUAAUGUCGGGAACUCCAGGGAGACUGCCGGUGAUAAACCGGAGGAAGGUGGGGACGACGUCAAGUCAUCAUGGCCCUUACGAGUAGGGCUACACACGUGCUACAAUGGCGCAUACAGAGGGCAGCCAACUUGCGAAAGUGAGCGAAUCCCAAAAAGUGCGUCGUAGUCCGGAUUGGAGUCUGCAACUCGACUCCAUG